rnacentral:lncRNA from 1 species
UCCGCUAAAAAGCGUAUACGCUUUAUUAAAAAAAAAAAAAAAAAUCUAUCGAUCUAUGGCCUCUGGCUAUUUUUAAUGGCCUAUACGGUCUAGGCAGAAAACGAGAGCUACCUAUUUAUUUUAUGUUUGAAGUCGCGACUUCUUCAGAAAAUAAUCCGCCGCUAUAAAUUUUUUCUUCUUUCUGUUUUGGUUGGAGGAAUUCCGUUUGAAUGUAGGCCACAUCUCGGUUUCGAACACGCUUUCCAAUAAUGUAUUGUGUAAGAAGGGAUAACAAUAACCUUCGCAGAUAAACUCGCUCACUCUUUCUUAUCCUACUUUGAGUCUUUUUAAGCUCCUUCCGCAGUUCAAACCCUUUUGUAAACCGGCUUGUUUUUUAUAUCCCCCAGCUCGAUACCUUUCUAAAUUAAUACGUGGCUAGUAUUAUUCCCAUAAAUUCUUUGUGUAGUAAAAGUAAGACCGUAAUCAAAUGCCAAGUUAUUUCUCUGGGCCGAAUAUUUUUGCGCUCGGAGCCUUAAAACGUACACACCGAUGGUGGCAUAAUUUAAGCUGUAGCGGUUCGAUAAUAAAAUUAUAGACGUAUUAAUUUAUUAUUUAAUUAUUCACCAGUUGGAAGCUGGGAAAGGUCUGGGUAUGAGCGCGGUCACGCAUUUUCCUCAUUGUUUACCAAUUCGAAAUACUGCCUUUUUAAAGUAGUAAAUAAAUUUUAUCUUCCAGAAGCUCCUUUCGAGGAUUUUUUUAAAAUCGUAAUUUAACGCGCAAAUCGAUUCUAAUUUAAAUAUGGCGGAAAUGUCACGGAAUGACGUCAUUUCGGAAACACCAACCCGAACGAAACAAAUUUGUAUUCAGCGGAGAUGCCGAAUUGGUAACUAGUUUUGUUUUUUUACUGCCAGACAAUAUAAUACGUAUAAAGAGCGAAUACAAAAUUCGGAAUUUGUGUAAGUCUAUAAAAAGAAGACUAGAAACCAAUAAUUAUUAAGGAUUUUUAUUUUUGCCAUAGAAUUUGGGAUGCCAGCCGUUGGUAAGAUGGUUAGACUGUUGGUCUUAGGUAAAGACAAGCGUCCUAUAGUCGCGUAUCUUAGUUAAUAGACCUAGGUAAUCUAGAAAAAUAGUCAUCGAUCGAAAGAAGGAAAUCGCCCGCCGCUCUUACGCUCUUAAUCUAAUUUAUAUCGUCCGAACACGAACAAUUUUCCAAUAAUUUUAUGUUUAGAAUACCAAAUUAAUUUUUUCUCUCUAAUUUUACGCGGAAAAACGUAUCUUUUCUAUAGAAUUUAGUACGAUUUAAAUGUAGAGUUUUAACUGGCAAAGGAAAAGAACAUUUUUUUCGAGACCGGUGAAACCAAAGUUGGCAAUUUAUAAACCAUUAAUUGUACUUCUGACGUAACCAGUUACCUACCCAGUGUAAAUUUUUAGAAACUAUUAAAAAAUAUCUGUUCCGUUUAUGUAUGAUGUAUAGGAGGCGAAGUCACCGUACAUAAUCCGAAUUUAACGAAGUCGGCCGAAGAAUUGGCUAACAAUCCAAUUUUAUCUGUUAGUUUCUUUCGCUUCUAAUUCCGCUUAUUCGCGUUAUACGCGGAGAAAACUUUAAUCCGCGGUCGACACCAAUAUCAGAAAAAAAAAAAAGAGAAAAAAUUAAGCGACCGAAGAAUUACACGGAAGACGGAUUUAGCAGUUAAUUAAGUGCAUCCAAAAUAAUUUCCUGGCAUAUAGGUGGUUCUUCUCGCGGCCAUCCAAUAAUAAUGGAACGAAUUAAAUUUUCAGUAGGCUUUUUACUCUUCUCUUUAAGAUAAAUAUUUAAUUCUUAAAUUAAAUUGUAAUUAAACGAAACGGUGGCUGGGUAUUAGCUCGGUUUAUCGAUCGCUUUUGAAUAACUUUGUUAAAAAGUCUCCUUUUCCUUUAUCAUAAUUACCUACUGUUUAUAAUUGCCACUUUUAAUUAGCACAGUUUCUAGUUUUGUCGAAACUGAAGAAAAUUCUUUUCAGAAGAAUUUUAUUACUUACUUUGCUUUUUUUUUUUCUUCUCGAUUUUCCGAGGUGGCCAAGGACUCCGGUGCCGUUUGGUAAGAUAAAAAAAAAAAAGUUUUGGUAAGACGGGACCACGCGAAUGUAGGCUACCGAAUAAACACCAAUAAAAUUAAAUAUGAUCCAGAAUAUUGGGAAUAUGUCGUACCAGAUCCGUAAUAUUUGUCACGGUGGUACGAAGUGUAUCCGAAUAUAUUAAAUUGGAGAAAUGGUCACGGAAUUUUGGAAAGAACAAAAUUGUGGAUUUUCUAACGUUUUUUAAUUCAAAAUGAGCAAAUUUUACGGUUACUUAAUACGGAAUUUAUGUAUUAGACGUUUUUAAAGUUUUCUACCAGAUUUUUAACCUUCCACACCAUUCCAAUUAGUUUUAGAUAAGAAAAUUAUACAUUUAGUCUAUAUAAAAUGAUUGGCGGUCAUUAAAAUGCCGUGACCAUAUAUACUUACGCAGCAUUUUUCUCGAAGGUCGAGUAUCGGCUACAUGGAGUAAAUUCGACGGUAGGUUAGUUAAUGGAGGUCAUCUAAUGUGUCUAGAUCUGUUUUUAAUUUAAAAUUGAUUAAAAAGAUUUUCCCUUAUAGAUCGCUUUAAAUCUUUAAUGAAAAUUCUCAACCGAGGUUUUCUGGGAAGUUGGAAAUAUAUAAUUUAAGUCGAUAAUAUUAGAAACUAAUAUGGGCGAAGGAAGCCAUCCAUCCACAGGAUAUUUUCGUAUAUUAAAAUAUGUUGGAAAAUAUUUAUGACCAUAAAAUUCCCACUUAAUUUUUCCAAGUAGAAAGCCGAUACAUUUUUAGACGGAAAAUUCAAAAUAUUUUUAACGAAUGGUGGAAGAAAACUUUUAAAUUUCUGGCCAGUAAAAUAUUUCGAUUAACAGCGUGGAUAGACGAAAGAUAUUUCGAUUUGAAUUUAAAUACUAAUUGCAUUUGACCUUAAUUAUCGAUAUUGACCCUGAUGGCCGAAGCCAGUAUUUAUUCCCCAAAUUGGUUUCCAAGCAUUUUCUAAUUUAAAAACCCUUCCGAAAUACUAGAAAAGUACUGUACAAAUUAUAUACCGUACUGUCGUAUUCUACCUACACUACACUACACUAGAUUCCGAGUUAAUUUUCUUAAUUGGUCGAGGCAAAUAUUUACAUAUCGGAAGAUUAUCACUUUAAAAUUAGAAGAUAUUUUUAUUUUAUAAAUGACUGGAUUAGCAAAGAAUUGUUAAUACGAAAGUUUUUCAAUUAACGUCUUAAACCAUUAUUAUUUAAAGAUGUAAUUACUAGAUACAGCUAAUUAUUAUCGACAUUAACUCGGACGUAGCUCGAUCUAAACAUUUCCAAGGAAGAGACCGGGUUAUCUCAGGGGCGAAAAAUUUUUAGACGUUUUGGAAGAGCAGGCAAAUUUCCUGGUCGAUUCCUGUAAAUCUAAGUGGUAUAAAGCGUGACUUAAAUAAGGCUACAUAGUGAUCCCAUCAGGCAGAAAGCGAAUGGUUAUUUUGUAACCGAUAAUCUGUUUUGGCCAGCGGCGUAAAAUGAGAUUUGGGUAGUGCCCAUUUCCAGCCACAGAGCGGAAAAGAUGCGGGUUAACCGCGAAAAGUCGCUCUUAUAACAAAUAGAAACAGUUUUUCUUUAGUAAUAGUCUGAAGGCCAAUCCGAUUACCCCCGACGGAAGAUGGAAACAAAUUGACCAAAUGCCUUUUAUCGAGCACUAAGUAAUAAGUUGAUUAGAUGGGAUUAGUAUUCCGACCAGAAGGAAAUCUUUGUCACCUAAUAAAUUCGCCAGUUAGAGUCGCUGCGCCUAUUUAAUUUAUCACAGUAUUAUUUUUUCACUCCAUCCUAAAUUGCCAAGUUUCUGGGAUAGAAUAGCUACAGAAUGUCAUUGUUCAAGAUUUUUGCAGCCAGCCUUCAUUAAGGACACUCGGCUAGUUUGAUUUUUAGCAGUCGCUAUUUACAUUGUGCUCUGACACUCCGAUAGGCAAAAAACACUGACAAAAGAAAAGAAAAAUUCCUAGUCGUUAUCAAUCAUUGUUUGUUCCUAUUGUUGACCCUAGAAGAAAGAAAGAGAGAGAGAGCAUCUGUUUGAACAUUAUUACAAACAUGGUUUCUAUUUGCAAAGAAGAAAUUUAAGGUAUGCAGAAGGAAUUGAAUGGCGUCGUUCAUUCGCUUUUUUUUUUGGCUCUCGACAUUCUUGUUCUAUCUGUAUCCAAAAGAAUUCUAGUUCAUCUCCACAAAUUAGUAGUCCAAGCGCAAUUUUUGGAAGGGGGCAGAAAAAAUCCCGGCAAACUGUACCGGAUUCGUUCGCUUUACAAAAAUUGGCAGGAAUUUCAAUUUUAUCCUUUUGGUACGUUUUAAACAUCGGUUGAUAAGCAGUUGGGUAAUUGUGACUAAGCCGUUUUCCUCGGGGAGCAAUCUGUUACAACACGCAAACUAUACGCAUUAAUUAAUUUCUGGCCAGCCAGUUGUCGCUCCGACAGCAAAAAGUGUACGGGAAGGUUAAAACGGCCUAGAAUCUCACCAAAUUCAUUUUCCACUCCAGUUUUCAAUUUCUUUUCGCUUCCGUUUCGGCUCUAGUCGAAAUUCAAUAAUCUCAUUUCGUAAACAAAAAACUUGCGAAAAUGGAUUCCACUUUAAUCGACGUUUACUUCCGACGCUCACUCCGAUCGCUGUAAAACGAUAUUAAUGAUGGCCCAUUAAAAUAUUAAAUUUUGAUAGUAGUACAAGUACCUUCAAUCGGAUUAAAUGUUUUCCAGACUCUUCCCGAAUUUAAUUCUAACAAGAUUUAAACUUCAAAUGCAAAUUCACUAACCGAUAUUUUAAGGCAUUUUUUUUUUUUUUUAAAUUUUAAACAUCGAAACUGGA